rfam:Sus scrofa isolate TJ Tabasco breed Duroc chromosome 1, whole genome shotgun sequence.
UCCCUGGUGGUCCAGUGAUUAGAACUUGGCACUUUCACUGCUGUGGCCCAGGUUCAAUCCUGGUCUGGGAA